rnacentral:rRNA from 1 species
AUUGUACGCUGGCGGCAAGCCUAACACAUGCAAGUCGAACGCGUGGCGGACGGGUGAGUAAUUUCUUGGAAACUGCCUGAUGGAGGGGGAUAACUACUGGAAACGGUAGCUACUACCGCAUACCAUCGGAUGUGCCCCGAUGGGAUUAGCUAGUCGGUGGGGUAAAGGCUCACCUAGUCGACGAUCCCUAGCUGGUCUGAGAGGAUGACAAGCCAAAAGGGAACUGAGAGACGGGUCAUAGUCCUACGGGAGGUAGAAGUGGGGAAUAUUGGAAGAUGGGCACAAGCCUGAUGUAGUCUUGCCGCGUGUAUGAAGAAGGCCUACGGGUUGUAAAUUACUGUAAGUGGGGAGGCGUCACCCGUAGAAGAAGCACCGGCAAACUCCGUGACAGCAGCCGCGGUAAUUC